rnacentral:rRNA from 1 species
GACGAACGCUGGCGGCGUGCUUAACACAUGCAAGUCGAACGGAAAGGCCCUGCUUUUGUGGGGUGCUCGAGUGGCGAACGGGUGAGUAACACGUGAGUAACCUGCCCUUGACUUUGGGAUAACUUCAGGAAACUGGGGCUAAUACCGGAUAGGAGCUCCUGCUGCAUGGUGGGAGUUGGAAAGUUUCGGCGGUUGGGGGUGGGCUCGCGGCUUAUCAGCUUGUUGGUGGGGUAGUGGCUUACCAAGGCUUUGACGGGUAGCCGGCCUGAGAGGGUGACCGGCCACAUUGGGACUGAGAUACGGCCCAGACUCCUACGGGAGGCAGCAGUGGGGAAUAUUGCACAAUGGGCGGAAGCCUGAUGCAGCAACGCCGCGUGCGGGAUGACGGCCUUCGGGUUGUAAACCGCUUUCGCCUGUGACGAAGCGUGAGUGACGGUAAUGGGUAAAGAAGCACCGGCUAACUACGUG